CCCCUCUCCCACACAGCCCUCAGUCCUAAAGGCUGGUCUCACUCCCAUCCUGCCACGCAACAGCACAGGGUCUAUUUCGAGACAGCCAGUGACCAGGGCUGAGAACUUGCCCCAGACCACCAGCCUCCUCACUGAGAAAGCAAGCAGAAUCACAGUUUUUUGGAAUCUCAGGGAGCCUUCAGCGGCAAUCCAGUUCCUUCAAAGGGUCUGUGGAUUCUCUCAGUUUUCAUGAUUUCUAAACUGCUUUGCUGAUUUGAUCUGGGGCCCUGGAGUGCCAACAUCCUGUGAUAGCGGCUGAUUGUUGAUGCCUGGGAGGAUACAGCAGUGACGAUCCAAAUUUACAAGACUCAACAUGGUUUUCAAAACUUCCUUUUAAAAAAGAUGUUCCUGAGUUCUGGAAUCUGAACAAAAUAUGUCUGGUUAUUAUAUAAUUCUAAUGGUCCUUGUGGAUGCUACCAUUAGAGUUCAGUUAGUGUCUCAUCUAUCACUGUAAUAUUUGUAUUGUAACACUAAUCGUGGCAAAGUAUGAUUUGAUAAAUGCUCAUUCUCAAAUCUUUUAUUU
rnacentral:lncRNA from 1 species